UGGUUCUGGCAUCGAUGAAGAACGCAGCGAAAUGCGAUAAGUAAUGUGAAUUGCAGAAUUCAGUGAAUCAUCGAAUCUUUGAACGCACAUUGCGCCCGCCAGUAUUCUGGCGGGCAUGCCUGUUCGAGCGUCAUUUCAACACUCAGGCCCUAGUGCCUGGCAUCGGGGCGGUUUCCCUUACGAGGGAAAGCUCUUAGAAACAUAGGCGGACCCCUUGGGCUCUGAGCGCAGUAAUAAUAUUCUCGCUCCGGGGCCUACUGCGGGAGUAAGUUGUCGGUUCCCUCUGUAGGGAGCCAUGGUGUGCAGUGGCGUACUCGGCCCUGUCAUAUAAUUGUUGACCUCGGAUCAGGUAGGAAUACCCGCUGA
rnacentral:misc_RNA from 1 species